UUUUUUUUUUUUUUAAAGCUUUCUACAUGUAGCCUUGUAAACUCUAUUAAGAACAGGAGUUUUGUCCCUUUUGGCUUCUGUAGCUCUGAUGCCUGUGGAUUCUCACUUAAUGUUUGAAUGAUUUAGAUGACUGAGGAACAAGUUGGAAAGAAUGAGAGCUAAUACUUAUUGAACAAUUAUUGAAUGCUAGGCACCGUACUAAAUGCCCCGCAUUGGUCUCUUAAUCCUUGAAACAAGUCUGUACAGAAGGACUUACUCCAAUAAAUCUUCUACAGUUCUAGAAACUGAGGUCCAGAGAUUGUAAAUCUCCCAAGUUCACAAAGCUGAUAGGUGAUGGAGUCAGUACUCACUUUUUGGUCUGUUACCAAAGAGCUGUGUAGUAUCCAUACAUUUUUCUUUCCUUCUUUCUUUUCACUGUCCACCUUCUACCUUUUCCCAAGGUCUCCCGCCUGCCAUGCAGAAAGUCAUGUAUAAGGGACUCGUCCCCGAGGAUAAAACAUUGAGAGAAAUAAAAGUGACCAGUGGGGCCAAGAUCAUGGUGGUUGGCUCCACCAUCAAUGAUGUUUUAGCAGUAAACACACCCAAAGAUGCUGCGCAGCAGGAUGCAAAGGCGGAAGAGAACAAGAAGGAGCCUCUCUGCAGGCAGAAAGGCCCAUGAUGGAAAUAUAUGGCAGCAGUUGGGUGCCGCAGAGUGGAGGUGACAACUACCUGAGAUUUGCAACUUUGUCUCAUCUGGCGG
rnacentral:sRNA from 1 species